UCUCUAUUUCCUUUGUCUUAAUAAUAAGACUUUAUUAAACAACUAGAAGUUGUUUUAUUGUAUACUAAUUGUUAAACAAAGGUAUGUGUGGAAAAUAGAACUUGAUUAAAUAAGUUUAAUUCAUUUCUCAAAUCAGAACUCCUUUGUAUUAACUAUUGAAGUAACCUUUUACUGUUAAUAAAAAUAUAUAAAUUUUUUAAAAAAUUUACAUUGUUAACACAUAAAAGUGGCGACAAUAGUAAAAUAAAUAUACAACAUAGAAACUUUAAACAGUCAUAACUAAAAAUGGCACCUGAGGCAGUUAGAACCUUAUUAUUCUGACACAACGACCUGUAG
rnacentral:lncRNA from 1 species